rnacentral:tRNA from 1 species
GCCGAAUUAGCUCAGCGGUAGAGCAGUCGCCUUGUAAGCGAAAGGUCGGAGGUUCAAAUCCUCCAUCCGGCU